UCAUUAAGUUGAGAAUCACAAAAGUGAGCAGAUCAGAGUUCUGUAGAAUUUAAGGAAUCACAGACAGUUAAAAACGGAUCUGCACCACAUUUACUUUCUGUUUGAUCUUCUCUUCCCCCAAAGUUUUGUCUUUUUCUCCAUGUAUUAGCUUUAUUUUUUCUCACUACAAAAGGAUCUCCUCCACACACUUUUUCAAUUAAUAUUCAAAAACUCCUGGAGGAAGGCUAUGAUUGGCCCAGGUUGGGCCACACCCAGUGCUCAAACUUGGACUGAUUAAUUUUAGCCAGAUGUCCUGGAAACUGCAAUUGGUCCAAUCUUUGACUGCAAUGGGGGCAGGCUAGAAGAGGCCAUUCCUGGAAAGGAGGAUGGUGAAAGCAAUAUCAGAUGGUCUCACUUGAUUUUGAAGACAACGCUAUGAGUGCAUCUUAGGGCUGUGUUAUUGUUGCAAAACUUGUUUCAAAAAUAAAUUUCAAUAAAUGAUGAUGGAGGUCUACUCUCACUAAUGACAAGAUUUUUGCAAUUCUCCUGGGCUUUUUCUUCUGUUAUUAUAUGCAAUGGAAAAGGAAACAUCUAAUUAAAUUGAAUCUACAAGAAGCCAUGAGAGGAGAGAAAAGAGAAAGGUUAUCUCCAUCCCUUGUGAUACCUGCUGCUGCCAGAUUGCUGCUUCAUUGAUUUAUGGUGAACACUCAGUUCUCUAUCACAUCACACAGCCCCCAUCCCUCUCUGUCUCUCUCCACCUUCCCCCUUGACUUCCCAGGAUCUCGACACAGUUCUAUGAUCAGCCAUUUCUCUUUCCACAUCACCUUCAUCUGUAAGUCCUCCCCUCCUUCCUCCACCCCUCCCUGGCUGCACCCCUGCCCUCCCUGAGGGCUGCCUGACCUGUCUCACACAACUCUCUGGUUCAGACUGGAAGACUCCUCUCAUCUGUCCUUGAAUUUCCUCUAUUCCUACUCCAUUGUCUUCACCUUUGUCUUUGUUUGGUUUGUUUGUCUCCUCUUUAUGUGUCCUCUCAUUUCUGCUACAUUCAGAAUACCUAUUUUACUCCUUAAAGCCACUGAGUCUACCCCUCACCUUGAAAGCUUCCUUUGAAUCCUUUCAUAAAAUGUCCCAUCCUGUGGAUAGCCGAAAACAGAAUCAGGGCUCCUCCUUCAGCCUCCGUCUCAAUUUUCAUUUCUUCCUUUUCAAACAAAAAAUUGUUUAUAUUUAUGGAUUUCUGCCAGAUCUCCCAACUUCUGAGAAAUUAAUUUUAGUAAUUAGAGAGCACCAUUGCAAAAGAUAUAAUAUUUCACUUUCCAUUUCACCACUCCCCUUCUUUCUAAAGGGUAAAUUUUCUUAAUUUUAAUUUUUAUAAUUCUGACCCAGAUUAUUAAUGUACCUUUUUAAAGAAAAUUAUUUUACAUUCUUAUAUGUUUACUAAAUGUUUAAAGACACAAGCAACUUUCUGGUAUUUCCAAGUCUAUUAUCUUUCAUGAACUACAGUGGAAAAAUCCCUUUGUAAUGUCACCUUUUCUGGCUACAUAUUUUUUCUUUCAUGUUUCUUCUGUGGAACUAUAAACUCCCAAAUCAACAUUUUCUCCUCCAUAGUUGACAUCCAUGAUCAUAUACCUUCCAACUCAGCCAUAUUGUAACCUAUGAAUCAUUGACCCCAUAUAAAAGCUUCAACCCCAAUUAUUUGCAAGAAAUAAAUUUCCUUUGUCAAUAUUUAGCUUUAAUUCUUAUAUGAAAAUUGAAAAAUUGAAUCUAGUAGGAAUUGCUGCAUUUUCUCUUUGAUGCAUUUUGAC
rnacentral:lncRNA from 1 species